UUCGGUUAUAAGAUCCCUCAAAGAUGAUGAGGUUAAUAGGUUCGAGGUGGAAGCAUGGUGACAUGUGGAGCUGACGAAUACUAAUCGAUCGAAGACUUAAUCAA
rnacentral:rRNA from 1 species